rnacentral:rRNA from 1 species
AUGUGGACCAACAUUUUCAAAAUUGGGGAGCUUCAGACUGUAUCAUGGUUUCAGUUUCUUCCUGUUGAACCAGAUUACAGUGCUACUUCUGAUAGAAGUUCAAAAGCCGAGCAGAAAGAUGCUCUUAAUAGCACUGUGCUGUCAGCGUAUCUUCGCUUACAGAGUGAAGGUCUCCUAAGUACUUGGACAAAUUCCUUUGUUGGCCCUUGGGAUCCAUCUCAAGGAGAGCAUAACCCUGAUGAGAAGAUCAAGCUCUGGUUGUUUCUUUCUGGCCGCCACUCAUUAGUACCUGAAAUGACCCAGCCCGCUGUAGCUAAAUUAAGAGUUGUUUCAAGUGGUUUAUGGGUGGCUCCAGGCAACUCAGAAGAGGUUGCAGCUGCACUAUGUCAGGCCUUAAGAAAUUCUUUGGAGAGAGCACUAAGAGGGCUUUCCUAUGCAAGAUUUGGUGAUGUAUUUACAAAAUACAACCCCCCUACAAGAAAUCAAAACAGCUUUAGGAGAGCACAACCUACAGUAGAAUUUGUCUUUGCGGCCACUGAGGAAGCAAUCUUUGUGCAUGUUAUUAUAUCCGCAAGAUAUAUGCGAAACCUUUCUAGUGAUGAUAUAGAGAAAGUUCUCACACACACUCCCCGUUCUGUUGGUGAAGGUCUUCCAGUUAUUGUUGCUCCUAGCGGAAUGCUGGGUAGGCUUGUCGGCUGUUGCCCAAGUGACCUCGCAAGACAAGUAUAUUCAAGCAAAUUAUCGGCACCUAAUCUACCAGGUUUUACUCAACCCACCAUCUGCCAGCUGAGAGGUCAAAGUUACUAUGUUGAAGUUGCCCUUGGCUUUCCACCUGCCUCAACUGACAAAAUUUCUGAGUCGGAAAAUAAUCAGAUUAAGAAAGAAUUUGAUUCAGUGAAGGACCCUCAUUUAGGUGAUGAUGGGCAGCAAAAGUUAGAAUCUGCUGAUGGCCUUCCAGUUCUUGAAAGGACAUUUAUUUACCCACCUGAGGCUGUUAUGGUACCUAUGGUCCAUCAGGCAUUUGUUCGCUUUUCUAGUAAAAGAAUGUGGUCACAGGACUGGAUGGGUAAUUCAUCAUGGGAGGCUUGGCCAUUUUGGAACUUCUCUCCGUCUUCUUACUUCCGGAACAGCUCUUUCUUUGGAUCUUCACGCGGACUUGGUGUGAACUCUAAUUUUCUAAGACUAAGAAGACAAAGGAAUAACAACUCCAACGGCAGGACUAGUAGUAUCAGUAGUGUCAGUAGCACUUCUAAUGGAAGUGAGCAUGCAGUUGCUGCUAAAGGUGGUGAUCUUUUGGCAGAUGCUGACUCUACAGCGUUCCAUCAGUCUGAUCUGCCAUUGAACAAUGACAUUGCUGGUAGCAAGAUGGUAUCCAAGCGCUCUCGUUCUGAAAUAACAGAAGAUUCUUCUCAUGCUGGCAAAGAAUUUAGUGAAAACAUGCAAGGCACAAAUGGUCAGGGGGGAUGUUCUUGGGGCUGGGGUGAAGAGGGGGUUGUGAUGGACAUCAAUAUACUUCUCUCGGAGUUUGGAGAUUUUAGUGACUUCUUUCAAGAGGAUGAGUUAGAUUUUGGUGAGCCGCCAGGUACUGCUGAAUCACAUGCUUUAGUAACCCCUUCUUCGGAAUAUGGAGACAUGCCAUUCAUAGAUAGUCCAUCCAUAGCUAUGGAUAUACCUGAACAAAGACUUUCUCCUGUUGGUUUCACAUCUGUGGAGGCAUUUAACCACCAAACAAUGUCACCUAUUCAGGAUGUUGCUUCUAAAGUUCAGGAGCCUCUCAAAGAAAUUGCAUCACCUGCAGGGUCCCAGUCCUUAGUAUUAUCAUCUAGUAGAUCUGAUUUUCUCACCAGAGCUGAAGCUACACUCACAUUUGCACCAGAAUAUGCAGCUGUUAAAAUUUCCAGUUGCGAGACGCCGGCAACACUGUUUACAAAUCCCUACUUGCCCGGAUCGAAAAAAAGAGGGAGUUGCGGUUUUAGCUCAAGAGUUUAUUCGUAUGAUGUCACACAAAGUUCUAAAGUUGAGUCUACAGGAGACAAGUCUGAGAAGUCUGAUAAAGUAACAUCAGCUAAUCUUUCACGUGAUGUUGGUCGAUCAAGCUUAUACACACUUGUGCAAGGUAGGAAAAAUGAGAGUGAAAAGAGCUUAAACAAUGCAGACGAACAAUCAUGCAAGGGAGAAACAUCAAGACCUGUUUCUGGUGAAACUUCAUUUAGCUCUUCUCUGACUAUACAAAAGAAGAGUGAUAGCAUGCUUAAUGUUGGGUAUUUCCUCCUAUCUAUGAAGACCGCACUUGCAACUGAAAUUGAAUGCAUCACAUUUCAGGCUGCCAUGUGCCGAAUAAGGCAUACACUAGUGUCUGUGAGAACCAAAGCAUCUGCUGAGUUAAAAAGUGCCUUGUCUAGUGCUAUGCAGACAGAGAGCAGUAGUAACUCGGGUCUUGUUCCCAAAUAUGAGAUGAAAAGGAAAGAAAGUAUACCAGCUAGGCUGUCUAGUGAUGUUGACCAUGACAUGUAUGAUAGGUCCCAAUUAGAAAACGUGGGAGUUUGGAGGUCUGUUGUGGUACCUAAAGGGGCAAAACCCCUUGAUUCUUUGUCCGCUAAAACAUUUAUUGGCACAAGCCCAUCUGUACAAAGACAACCUAUUGUGGAACUUCUCAGUGCCAUGGCUCUGCUAGUUCAGCAAUCUACUUCAUUUGUUGAUAUCGCACUUGAUAUGGAUGAUGGAGAUGGUUCUUUUUUCUGGCUUUCCUUGGAUGAGCAGAGGAGACGUGGAUUUUCUUGCGAUCCUUCUAUGGUUCAUGCUGGCUGUGGUGGACUAUUAGGAACAUGUCAUUCCAAGGAUUGUGCUGGUGUUGAUUUAGUUGAUCCACUUUCCGCAGAGGUUUCAGAAUCAUCCCUGAUUGGCUUGUUGCAGUCGGAUAUAAAAUCAGCUCUUAAAACUGCGUUUGCAAACAUGGAUGGUCCAUUAUCAGUAAUUGAUUGGUGCAGGGGUCGAAGUAAUAUAGCAGAAUCUGCUGCCAUGGGAGAUGCAUACUCUUUCCAUUAUACUACUGGUGAUAAUCGAGAUACUUCAAAUUCUAUGCCCAUCGGUGGAGAUGCAAUGAGCCCACCCCAAUCUAGCAAUGAUCGAGGCACUUCAGAAGAGCAUCAUAAGGGAUAUCACCGUGUUAGACCAACCAUCGCUGUCCUCCCUUUGCCAUCUCUUCUUGUUGGUUACCAGGAUGAUUGGUUAAAGACCUCUGCUAAUUGCCUCAAAUUGUGGGAGAAGGCUCCUUUGGAACCUUAUGCUUCGGCCAAGCCUGUUACUUACUACGCACUGUGCCCCGAUAUUGAUAUGCUUACUUCUGCAGCCACUGAUUUCUUCAUGCAGCUUGGAACAAUUUAUGAAGUUUGCAAACUGGGUACUCAUUCGCCACAACACAGUGGGGGGCAAAUAGAACAAUCUCCUGGAAAGUAUCUGCCUUCAGGACUUGUUCUCAUUGAGUGUCCUGAUCAAUUGAAGACUGGGGGCAGCCACUCAGCUUCUAUCAGUUCAAUAACUGAAUACUUUCAAGCUCUUUCAAAAAGUUGGAGUGUGAAAAGCUUUGUAUCAUCUCUGGCAAGGAUAAUUAAGGAUAUAAAGCUUACCGUAAACAUUUCAACAAAUCAGAAAGAGAGCAGUAACAUACCUUGCACUGUAGUUUAUGUGGUCUGCCCAUUUCCUGAACCAUCUGCAGUCCUACAGACACUGGUAGAAAGUUCUGUUGCCCUUGGGUCUAUCUUAUCGUCAGAGAGAGAAAGGAAAUCAUUCCUGUAUGCUCAGGUUGCCAAAGCUCUAGACAGCAGUGCUUCUGCUGAUGAAGCAUCAGCAUCCAAUGUUGUAAUGCUCUCUGGGUUCAGUAUACCGAAGCUUGUCUUGCAGAUUGUUACUGUUGAAACUUUACUGAGACUCCAUAAACCAAAUGAGCUUGCUGCUUUCAAGGACAUAGCUUUCACUGUGUAUAAUAAGGCUCGACGGAUCCCACGGUUUGUUUCCAAGAGUGACAUGUUCCAGUCACCUACUUAUAUGAGUAGGCCUCAGUCCACGAUGAUGCACACUGCAUCUCCUGGUCCUACCCUUUGGAAAGAGUGUCUAGUUCCUCGGAUGUCUGGACAAACUCUCUCUAGAGAAACAGAGUUUGAUGCAUCCAUGAGGUCAGUAUCAUGGGACAACUCAUGGCAACCUGGCCGUGCUGUAGGAUUGCCUGAUCCAAGCAAAAUCCCAGAAUUAUGUGCUCAGGAUGACAGGAAGUAUGCCUUUGAGCCGCUUUUCAUUCUGGCAGAGCCUGGGGCUGCUGAUUACAGUGAUAUGAUGGAAUCUUCAAGAUUAGGAGCUGAUGCAAGUAGCAGCAGGGCUUACAGCUCAAUUUCAGGUGGCACUGAUAGUGGAGCAAGCCCACCACUUGAAGGGUCUGAGAAUGACAGUGCUACAAGUCUUCAUUGCUGUUAUGGCUGGACCGAGGACUGGCGAUGGUUAGUAUGCAUCUGGACAGAUUCUAGAGGAGAGUUAUUAGACAGCUUAAUAUUUCCUUUUGGUGGUAUUAGUAGCCGCCAAGACACUAAAGUUCUCCAGAGCCUAUUCAUUCAAAUUCUGCAGCAGGGUUGUCAAAUAAUGUCGUCUUCACCAGAAGCUAGCAAUACAAGAUCAAGAGAUGUAAUGAUAACCCGUAUUGGAGGUUUCCUUGAACUUGAAAUCCAGGAAUGGCAAAAGGCAAUAUACUCUUUUGGUGGUAACGAGGUAAAGAAGUGGCCUGUGCAGUUACGACGAUCUAUACCUGAUGGUAUUCCGUCAAAUUCUAAUGGACCAACACUCCAGCAACAAGAUAUGGGCUUAAUCCAGGACAGAAACAUGCCUUCCUCACCUAGCACAUUAUACAGCCCUCAUUCGAAAUCUAGCUUCACGAAAGGUCAGUCAGGAAACAAAAAGCAGAUCCUAGGGGAACAAACUGGAAUGGACAGUUCAAGGGGUUCAUUGCACUUGGUUCGUAGCAUCAGUUUAGUUGCAGUUUCGCAAGAUAGUUCAUUGCAUCUGGCAUGCCAAGCGGAUCUGAUGGCGACCAGACCUACUUCUGGUGAAGGGAAUCAAAGCAGCACUGGGUCUUCUAGUUACUUAGACGGGUUUACCCCAGUCAAGUCCAUCGGGUCAAUGUCUGCAUCGUAUCUUCUGGUUCCGUCACCAAGUAUGCGGUAUCUUUCCCCUGCGACAUUACAGCUUCCAACGUGCCUUACAUCGGAAUCCCCGCCGCUUGCCCACCUAUUGCACAGCAAAGGGACAGCAACUCCCUUGGCAAUGGGUUAUGUCGUCUCCAAAGCUGUCCCACCAGUAAGAAAGGAUGCCGCGCAACUCACCAAGGAGGACAGGCACUCCGUUCUCUCUGUCAGCAUCAUCGAUUACUACGGAGGCAGCACCGCCACUGUCCAAGAGAAGAUGAGCAGAGGCGUUGGCGGCAGCAGCAUGAGCAAGCAGGCAAGGAACAACACCCAUGAAACAUCAGCCCGUGAUUACGAAAUGGACAUGCACAAUGUGUUGGAGGCGGUGGCCGCUGAGCUCCACGCCCUUUCGUGGAUGACGGUAAGCCCGGUCUACACGGAAAGGCGCAGCGCUCUCCCCUUCCACUGUGAUAUGGUUCUGAGGUUGAGGAGACUUCUCCACUACGCCGAUCGACAUCUCUCUCAGCAAACAGAGAAGGGAGAGAUGUAG